rnacentral:tRNA from 1 species
GCAUCGGUGGUUCAGUGGUAGAAUGCUCGCCACGCGGGCGUCCAGGGUUCGAUUCCCGGCUGAUGCA